rnacentral:rRNA from 1 species
UACAGAGGUCCCAAGCGUUGUCCGGAAUCACUGGGCGUAAAGGGCGCGUAGGCGGCUCGGUAAGCGUGCGGUGAAAGCCCGGGGCUCAACCCCGGGUCGGCCGUGCGACUGCGGAGCUGGAGCACUGUAGAGGCAGGUGGAAUUCCGGGUGUAGCGGUGGAAUGCGUAGAUAUCGGGAGGAACACCAGUGGCGAAGGCGACUACUUGGCCUGUUCUUGACGCUGAGGCGCGAAAGCUAAGGG